CUACGGGGGGCUCCAGUGGGGAAUAUUGCACAAUGGGCGCAAGCCUGAUGCAGCCAUGCCGCGUGUAUGAAGAAGGCCUUCGGGUUGUAAAGUACUUUCAGCGGGGAGGAAGGGAGUAAAGUUAAUACCUUUGCUCAUUGACGUUACCCGCAGAAGAAGCACCGGCUAACUCCGUGCCAGCAGCCGCGGUAAUACGGAGGGUGCAAGCGUUAAUCGGAAUUACUGGGCGUAAAGCGCACGCAGGCGGUUUGUUAAGUCAGAUGUGAAAUCCCCGGGCUCAACCUGGGAACUGCAUCGGAUACUGGCAAGCUUGAGUCUCGUAGAGGGGGGUAGAAUGCCAGGUGUAGCGGUGAAAUGCGUAGAGAUCUGGAGGAAUACCGGUGGCGAAGGCGGCCCCCUGGACGAAGACUGACGCUCAGGUGCGAAAGCGUGGGGAGCAAGCAGGAUUAGAUACCCGUGUAGUC
rnacentral:rRNA from 1 species